UACAGAGGGUGCGAGCGUUAUCCGGAAUUACUGGGUUUAAAGGGUGCGUAGGCGGCUAUGUAAGUCAGGAGUGAAAGUUUGCGGCUCAACCGUAAAAUUGCUUUUGAUACUGCAUGGCUGGAAUCAGGAUGAGGUCAGCGGAAUGUGGCAUGUAGCGGUGAAAUGCAUAGAUAUGCCAUAGAACACCAAUUGCGAAGGCAGCUGGCUAGACCUGUAUUGACGCUGAGGCACGAAAGCGUGGGGAGCGAACAGG
rnacentral:rRNA from 1 species